AACGCACAUUGCGCCCCUUGGUAUUCCAUGGGGCAUGCCUGUUCGAGCGUCAUCUACACCCUCAAGCUCUGCUUGGUGUUGGGCGUCUGUCCCGCCUCUGCGCGCGGACUCGCCCCAAAUUCAUUGGCAGCGGUCUUUGCCUCCUCUCGCGCAGCACAAUUGCGUCUGCGGGGGGGCGUGGCCCGCGUCCACGAAGCAACAUUACCGUCUUUGACCUCGGAUCAGGUAGGGAUACCCGCUGAACUUAA
rnacentral:misc_RNA from 3 species